rnacentral:rRNA from 1 species
UACGGAGGGUGCAAGCGUUGUUCGGAAUUAUUGGGCGUAAAGGGCAGGUAGGUGGUGUAUCAAGUCUGCUGUGAAAUCCCUGGGCUUAACCCAGGAAGUGCGGCGGAUACUGGUAGACUAGAGUACUGGAAGGGUGAGUAGAAUUCCCGGUGUAGCGGUGAAAUGCGUAGAUAUCGGGAGGAAUACCAGAGGCGAAGGCGGCUCACUGGACAGUCACUGACACUCAACUGCGAAAGCGUGGGUAGCAAACAGG